UGUUGGGUGGCGUUUCUACGCGGAAGCGUGUAUAUGCGCAUGGUAUCUAUAUUUUCAAGUCUAGAGAAAGCAAGAGCUAUCCUGUCCCUUACCGGCGGCGGACACACAAAUAACCAGUGAUUUUGUGAUGCCUUACAGACGAAUAGAUAUAUUGUAGUAGGCUACACUUUAACUGACUAGAAUCCAAGAAGCUUUUGUUGCAAUGCACUGGUUGAUCUUGAAGGAGUCUGGCAAUCCAAAACUGAGGAGGUGUGUACCUUGCAGCAAUGUCAGGGGAUACAACGCCAGUCCUAGACCAGGUAAACGGCAACAGUUAUAGCCAAGAAAACAAGCUGUCAAAUCUACGAGCCUCAGAGAAGAAGUGCUCUUGGGCCUCUUAUAUGACCAACUCCCCUACUCUGAUUGUAAUGAUUGGCCUUCCAGCAAGAGGCAAAACCUAUGUGUCCAAGAAAUUAACUCGCUACCUCAACUGGAUUGGAGUGCCUACAAAAGUGUUUAAUCUAGGGGUAUAUCGUCGUGAAGCAGUAAAAUCAUACAAGUCGUAUGAUUUCUUCAGACAUGAUAAUGAAGAAGCCAUGAGGAUUCGAAAGCAAUGUGCCUUGGUAGCUCUUGAGGAUGUGAAAGCUUAUCUCAUGGAGGAGAAUGGCCAGAUUGCUGUUUUUGAUGCAACCAACACAACCCGAGAGAGGCGGGACAUGAUUUUAAUGUUUGCUAAAGAAAAUUCUUUUAAGGUGUUUUUUGUUGAAUCUGUCUGUGAUGAUCCAGAAGUCAUUGCUGCCAAUAUAUUGGAGGUGAAGGUCUCCAGCCCUGAUUACCCAGAGAGAAACCGAGAGAAUGUGAUGGAUGAUUUCCUGAAGCGAAUAGAGUGCUAUAAAGUCACCUAUCAGCCUCUUGAUCCAGUUAAUUAUGACAAAGAUCGUUCUUUCAUUAAAGUGAUUAAUGUGGGGCAACGCUUCCUUGUCAAUCGCGUUCAGGAUUACAUCCAAAGCAAAAUUGUCUAUUACCUCAUGAACAUUCAUGUUCAGCCACGCACCAUCUACCUUUGUAGACAUGGUGAGAGUGAGUGCAACCUUCUCAGCAAGAUUGGCGGGGACUCAGGCCUGUCAACACGAGGGAAGCAGUUUGCUCAAGCACUGAAAGAGUUCAUCAAAGAGCAGGAGAUUGUGGAUCUGAAAGUUUGGACUAGCCAACUGAAAAGAACAAUUCAGACGGCCGAGGCCCUGGGGGUACCAUACGAGCAGUGGAAGAUAUUGAACGAGAUUGAUGCUGGUGUAUGUGAAGAAAUGACCUAUGAACAGAUUCAGAGAAAGUACCCAGAGGAGUUUGCACUUCGUGAUCAAGAGAAAUACCUUUAUCGCUAUCCUGGAGGAGAAUCUUACCAGGAUCUGGUCCAGCGCUUGGAACCUGUGAUUAUGGAACUGGAGCGUCAGGGAAAUGUCCUAGUUAUUUGUCACCAGGCAGUCAUGAGGUGCUUACUGGCCUAUUUCCUUGAUAAGAGUGCAGAUGAGCUGCCCUAUCUGAGGUGCCCUCUUCAUACCGUCCUUAAACUCACACCAGUUGCUUAUGGCUGUAAACUGGAAAUGAUCUCCCUGAAUGUUGAAGCUGUAGACACGCACCGAGACAAGUCAUUCACUGCAACAAACAACCUUCCAAAGAGCCAAACCCCUAUAAGGAUGAGGAGGAACAGCUUUACACCACUAGCCAGUCCGGACACAGUAAAGCGUCCUCGCAAUUACAGUGUUGGGAGCAAGCCUCUCAACCCAGCAGGGUCACUGCUAUUCCUGGAGGCUCAAGAUGGGGCUCAUCAACAGAAGCUGCAAGACAGUGUUCAGCUUCAAGUGAGAAGUGCUUGCCUGAAGCUGGUGGAGACUACUAAUAAGAGGGCAACAGAGAGCUGUGAAUUAGUUCCAGGAAUAGUGGAAGAAAUUUGCUGCAGCAAUGGGGAGGGGAUGGAAUUCUUGAGACAGGAUGCUGAAGUAACUUGAUCCAGGAUCUUGAAAUACACCCAGAGAGGACAGUUGAACAGUGCAUAAGUACAACCAGAGUGCACAGGCAAAAAACGGCUGGCCUAGCAAAGUAGAAGUAUCUCGUUUGUGUUAUUGAAAAUCAUCAUGGAGGCCUAAGAAAUGCUUUGAAAUGGAACCCUUCUAUUUGAUCAAAAGUCUGUGAAACACCUUUCUCAAGGGUUUUAAAACAUGGCGGGCCACCUAGCUUUCUGGACCAAGAAGUGCUGUCUAAGCUCUCUAAAAUAGCGUCAAAAACUCUCAUUGUGUUUGAUGUUACAACACCUGCACCUAGCAUAAGCUCACUUUGAACUUCUCAAGUUCUAAUGAUGUACUUCUAGAACGAUUUAAAACUUUAUUGUAACUUAAAGCAUAUUUAUGCUACGAAGCUAAACCAACUUUAAUUUUUUUGUCACAACACCAAAACUCAAAGCUCUGGGAAAUGUUCUAUAAAACAAAAUGCAAAGGCUCUGUAUCAGUGUAGUAUCAGCACUCCCAGAAUAUCUCAGUUCCAAGAAUUCUUGGAGGAAAGCUUUAACAGUUAAACUGGUUUCCCACUGAUAUAAAUUUGUAUUGUAGAUGAGGUUUGAGACACUUUGAGUUUCUCCCUCACCCCUUUUUCUCCCCUCCCCAGCCCCCAAUCUAGACUACUGUACUGCUUAGGGAAGUUCUUCCUCCUAGACUGAGAAUUGCUGUCUUGGAGGUUAUUGAGUCUUUGCUAGUUCAAAGGCAACCUCCUGCCAAGCCUUCCUCCAUUUGACUGUGUGCUGUUCUAGUGGCUGCAGUGUGGGCUGUGGCAAUUCUCUCAGUUCUCCUGUACAAGUGCAGUUUUACAAAAUGCUUUGGUCGCUGGAGCGCCGCACACUCACACACCAGAAUCUGAAGGUUCUUGCACAACUGUGCUCACACAGGGAAACAGAGGGAGGUGCACAAGGACUCCUGCAGCCCCUAGAAGUGUGAGCACUUUGUUAGGAUAUCAGCCCCUGUUUUCAAUAUUACUCCAAUGGACAGCUCUCAGGUCCUCAUCCUUGUGGUGAGCCAUUAGUUGUUGUUUUUUUUUAGAGAACAAAGGGAAAAUUAAGUUGGCUCUGCUAGAUCUGUUUUCAAAAAACCCGAGGAAAACCAAGAUGUAAUGGACUCCAGAACACUACUGCUAGCUAACGUUCCGGAGGUAUUUGUCCAUGUUGAUAGAAAUAGUAGUCUGAGAUGGGCAAUUAGUUUUAAAUUAUAAGGCAACUCCUUUAAUGCAUAAUCAGUUGAAUAUGUAAGUGCACUAACUGAGCAAUGUAUCAGCUAUACUUACGGGGGAACUACAAUAUGUUUCGACUUCUGCUGUUCACAUUGCUUGAUCACUAUUAGCAUUUUUACCCCCACUUAAGCAAAUAAAAACUGGAGUGGGAAUAAGGUGUUUUUUUAAAAAACAUAAUGUGCAAAUUAUACCAGGAUUUCAGGGUAUCUGCUAAGUGCAACUGCUAUGUGUGUGUGGGUAGCAGCAGCAGAACGUUCUGUAUAUACACGGAAAAACAAAGAGGCCCUAGUAUUUCAGUUGUACAACUUUGAACAUAUUUUUUCAAAUGAUUUUCAGUUUCCUACUGAAAUAAAUCUAAGUUCUGUGUUUGGCACACCACUGUCAGCUCUCUGAUGGUAGGGUGGAUAGUCUCAUUUUUAAGGCAUACCACCUGCCCUCCUGGUUGGAGCUCUGGAGUUUUCCUGUAAUCUGGUGCAAGAAAUGUGAUAGUUCACACACAUUGGCUCAGAAAUAAUUGGUGAGGUGGUGGGGGAAGAAACCAUCCUUAAGCUUCCCCCAGUCUUUUCUUUCCCAAGUCCUGCAAAGAGAUAGUACAUAUCCCAUAUUCAAUGGAUUUGAGAAGGUUACAUAACUGGGCUUAAGUUCAUUACCUUGAUUUCUGCUGACUGAGCCUGUCAUAAAACUCAUGGGUACUCAGGAGUAAGUCCUUUCAGGUAAGCUUACAUAUAGAAUUGCAGCCUUAGUGUAUACAUGUUUGUAAAACAAAAAUUUAGUGAAAAGCCCACAAAAUGAGGAAAUGCUUUUGGAGUGCCUUUAGUACCCCAUGGUCACGUUCUAGUGUAACGUUUCCAUGAAUUAAAAUAGCACAUGUUGCAUCUACGCACAAUACACCACUAUAAAUUUUUGCACAAUGUUAUUCGUUCAUGUUAAUGUUAUGAGCCCCUGCUUGCAUUAAUAUAUAUAUAUUUUUUGUAUGCCAAGACAUAUGAAUGUGACUACUUAUAUAUGAGCAAUUUUAUUUUCUUAAUUAAUAAUAAUAACUUCUGUAAUAUACUCAUCUUCUAAUGUUGGACAUGGGUUGGAACUGGAUGUGAUCAAUCCACUCCAUAUGUCACCAUUGAGCCUGUGAUGGCAAGAUGCUUGUUGGUCAGAGGUGUCUGAAUGCUGCAUUACGUAUCUCUAAAGCUAGUAUUAUUGUGAGUAAUGUGUUGUUGCCUUCAAUUCAGAAUGCAAACUAUGUGUUUCUGUAAGCACAGGCAUUUAGUAAUUGAUUGUUAAAGUGCAAUACCAUGCUGACCUUGGUUGUUUCCAAUGGUUACUCCUGCUCAGUGCCUGAAUAAUAAAAUAAAUUAUGGAAUGUA